rnacentral:lncRNA from 1 species
UUUGAGGGUGCUAUUUUCUUUUUUUCUUUUCUUUUGAUUUUUCUUUUGAUUUCUUUUGAUUUUGCACCCUCCUCUUUCUUUUUUCUCUUUUUUUUUCUUCUUUUUUUUUGAUGCCCCAGUUGGCGGUUCUGCUGAUUCUCGAGAUGCAACUGAGUGUGAUCUUCUUUUCUUGCUCAAGAAGUCGGGAAAUACUGUCAGGAAUUCC